rnacentral:tRNA from 1 species
GGCCGCUUGGUCUAGUAGUAUGAUUCCUGUUUUGGGAUGCUACAGGAGGUCGUGGGUUCAAUUCCCACAGCGGCCC